UACGUAGGGGGCAAGCGUUGUCCGGAAUUAUUGGGCGUAAAGAGCGCGUAGGCGGUCCGAUAAGUCGGCUGUGAAAGUCAGGGGCUCAACCCUUGAAAGCCGGCCGAUACUGUCGGACUAGAGUCCGGAAGAGGCAAGUGGAAUUCCCGGUGUAGCGGUGAAAUGCGCAGAUAUCGUAAGGAAGACCAGUGGCGAAGGCGGGUCUCUGGACAGUUCCUGACGCUGAGGCACGAAGGUCAGGGGAGCAAACGGG
rnacentral:rRNA from 1 species